CGACCCCUCAAGCCCUGCUUGGUGCUGGGGCCCCUACGUCCGCCGUAGGCCCCGAAUUACAGUGGCGGGCUCGCCGCGACCCCGAGCGUAGUAGUGUUACAUCGCCCAGGGGCGCGCGGCGGGCGCCGGCCGUAAAAGGAGAGAACGGGGGGCGCGAGACGCCCACCGGCACACCA
rnacentral:misc_RNA from 1 species